rnacentral:snoRNA from 1 species
AUGCUUUAAAGAUUAAAACAAAGUUUUAUCUCUACUAUAGAUGCAAGAAAAAGAAGACCCUCGCUCUUUCUAUCUGUCUGGUUGUGGCAGCCAAGUUUGAAGGGGGAAUACAGGA